CGUUGUCCACCUCUGUGGGUCCGCCAACAGCGAGCCCUUUCAGAAGCACCACCACCAGCACCUCUUCCUGUACAAACUAACCAUUACUUUGUACCCCCGGAAUAAGAAUAUGUUCCAGUUGAGAUCGGAGGUGUAGUGGAAACUAGUGGAAAGAAUGGACAGAACUGUACAAAGUUACACAUUCAUCUGUAAAGCUCGUCUGAAGCUAUCCGCUCCAGCACCUUACUGCGAACCAUUGGCCCGCUAAUGGUUGUGCCGCGCAGCGAGGCGUCGUCGUCGCUUAAUCGGCUGCAGUUGAAUGUGGCACGAACUCCGCUCUUCCCGUUUAAGAUUGGUUUCCGCCGUAUCCAACUUCCGGAAUAGCUGCAGCAUCC